GCCUGUUUAGCACAGUGGUAAUGCGUUGCACUUGUAUCCUCUAAUUGGGCACAUGCAAAGAUCACUGGUUCGAUUCCAGUAAUAGGCA